AUGCUUGAGUGUAUAGUUGCACUAUGAUUUUUGAUAUCAUAAGUUUUAAUAAAGAAUUAAGAGGCAUAA
rnacentral:tRNA from 1 species